ACUCCUACGGGAGGCAGCAGUGGGGAAUCUUGGACAAUGGGGCAACCCUGAUCCAGCCAUGCCGCGUGAGUGAUGAAGGCCUUAGGUCGUAAAGCUCUUUCGCCUGUGAUGAUAAUGACAGUAGCAGGUAAAGAAACCCCGGCUAACUCCGUGCCAGCAGCCGCGGUAAUACGGAGGGGGUUAGCGUUGUUCGGAAUUACUGGGGCGUAAAGCGCGCGUAGGCGGAUUAGUCAGUUAGAGGUGAAAUCCCAGGGCUCAACCCUGGAACUGCCUUUAAUACUGCUAGUCUUGAGUUCGAGAGAGGUGAGUGGAAUUCCGAGUGUAGAGGUGAAAUUCGUAGAUAUUCGGAGGAACACCAGUGGCGAAGGCGGCUCACUGGCUCGAUACUGACGCUGAGGUGCGAAAGUGUGGGGA
rnacentral:rRNA from 1 species